rnacentral:rRNA from 1 species
AAUAAAAAUAUUUUUAAUAUUAAAAGGGGGUUUUAGUAUUUUAAAAGAAAAAAUUAUAAAAUUUAUAGUUUAUUAGUAUUGUAAAAGAAUUUUUAAAUAGUUAUGAAAAUGAAUUUAAUUAAAAGUAAAUUUUAUUUAUUGUAUCUUGUGUAUCAGAGUUUAUUAAAUAUAAAUUUGGUUAAAUUAUUUCUCGAAUUUAAAAGAGAUAAUUAAUUAUAAAAGUUAUUGUUGCAUAAAUAUUUUAAAUAAUUAAUUUGAAAUGAAAUGUUAAUCGUUUUUAAAUAUAUCUAGUUUUUUUAGAAAAAAAUUUAAUUUUAUUUUUUUUUUAUAAUUUAUUAAUUAAUUAAUAAAUUAUAAAAAAAAAAUUAUAUUUUAAGGGAUAAGCUUUAAAUUAAAUUUUUAUAAUUAUUAUUAAAAUAAUUAAAAAUUUUAAAAUUUAUAUUGUUUAUAAUUUUUAAUUUAUUAUAAAUUAAUUUUAAUUAAAUUAAAAUUUUUUAAUAAUUUAAUUUUUUAUAAAAAAAUAUUUUAUAAUAAAAUAAAAUUAGUUAUAAUGAUAAAAUUAGUAUUUAAUUAUAUAAUAAAAUUAAUUGUUAUAUAAAAGUAAUAUUAAGGAAUUCGGCAAAAUUUUAUAUUCACUUGUUUAUCAAAAACAUGUCUUUUAGAUAAUAAUUUAAAGUCUAAUCUGCCCACUGAUAAUUUAUUAAAGGGCUGCAGUAUAUUGACUGUACAAAGGUAGCAUAAUCAAUAGUCUCUUAAUUGGUGACUUGUAUGAAAGAUUGGAUGAAAUAUAAACUGUCUCAAUUUUAAUUAAAUAAAUUAAUUUUUUGAUUAAAAAGUCAAAAUAAAUUUAAAAGACGAGAAGACCCUAUAGAGUUUAAUAUAUAUAUUUAUUAAAAUUAUAUAUAAAAAUAAUAAUUAAAAUAAAUAUAUUUAUUUUGUUGGGGUGAUAAAAAAAUAAAAAAAACUUUUUUUAAAUUAAAUCAUUAAUAAGUGAAUAAAUGAUCCAAAAUAUUUUGAUUAUAAGAAAAAAUUACCUUAGGGAUAACAGCGUAAUUUUUUUUUUUAGUUCGAAUAAAAAAAAAAGUUUGCGACCUCGAUGUUGGAUUAAGAUAAAAUUUAAAUGCAAAAGUUUAAAAUUUUGAUCUGUUCGAUCAUUAAAAUCUUACAUGAUCUGAGUUCAAACCGGUGUGAGCCAGGUUGGUUUCUAUCUUUAAAUAAAUAAAAUAUUUUAGUACGAAAGGAAUAAAUAUUUAAAUUAAAUUUAAUUAAAUAGAAUUUUAUUAAAUU